CCGGGAUGUUCAUAACCCUUUGUUGUCCGACUCUGUUGCCUCCGGGGCGACCCUGCCUUCGGGCGGGGGCUCCGGGUGGACACUUCAAACUCUUGCGUAACUUUGCAGUCUGAGUAAAUUUAAUUAAUAAAUUAAAACUUUUAACAACGGAUCUCUUGGUUCUGGCAUCGAUGAAGAACGCAGCAAGAUCAUUACAAGUGACCCCGUCUAACCCCGGGAUGUUCUAACCCUUUGUUGUCGACUCUGUUGCCUCCGG
rnacentral:misc_RNA from 1 species